rnacentral:rRNA from 1 species
GGUUUGAUUAUGGCUCAGAUUGAACGCCCGGCGGGAUUCGCUACGCUAAUACGAUCGAACGGCAGCACAGCGGACUUCGGUCUGGUGGCGGUGGCGAACGGGUGAGUAAUGUAUCGGAACGGUGCUAGUAGCGGGGGAUAACUGCGCCGAAAGCGUAGCUAAUACCGCAUACGCCCUUCGGAAAGCGGGGGACCUUCAGGCCUCGCACUAUGAAGCGGCGAUAUCGGAUUAACGCUGGUUGGUGGGGUAACGGCUCUUAAGGCGACGAUCCGUAGCUGGUUUGAGAGGACGACCAGCCACACUGCUGGGACUGAGACACAGCCCCGAACUCCUGGGGAAGGCAACGGUGAGAAUUUGCACAGACAGGCCUGAUCCGUAUCCCGCGUGCGAUGAAGGCCUUCGGUUAUGCUUACGGCGGGAAAGAGCGGCACAGGAUAAUACUGUGCAACUGACAAUACCUGCAGAAUAAGCACCAGCUAACUACAUUGCCAGCAGCGGUAAUACGUAGGGUGCAAGCGUUAAUCGGAAUUACUGGGCGUAAAGCGUGCGCAGGCGGUUCGGAAAGAAAGAUGUGGGAAAUCCCGAGUAACUUUGGAACUCAUUUUAACUACCGGCAAAUUAAUGUCAAGAGGUGGAAUUCCGUAUAACCAGUGAAAUGCGUAGACAUGGAAGGCUGCAGUAAUGCAAAACAAACUCACAGGAUAAUACCGGCGCUCUUUUGCAAAGCGUGGGAGCAAAGCAGGAUUGAAUGCCCUGGUAGUCGCUUCAGCGAUGUCGCUGGCUGUUGCGAGCCUUCCGGGACAUGGUAAGCGCAGCUAACGCGUGAAGUUGACCGCCUGCAGGGAAGUACGGUCGCAGAUUAAAAACUCAAAGGAGUUGACAGGACCACGCAAGCACGAUGGAUGAUGGAUUAAUUCGAUGCAAAAGGCAUGAAAACCUUUCUGCCAAACGUGUCCCUGGAUACGAAGAAGAUUUGGGAGUGCUCGCAGAGAACCGGAACACGGAGUGCUGCAUAGCUGUCAGCUCGUGUCGUGAGGUGGUGGGUUAGAAUCCUGGCGGCAUAUUCCUUGUCAUUAGUUGCUGCGAAAGGGCACUCUAAUGGACACGGUGGUGGCAAACCGGAGGAAGGUGGAUGACGUCAAGUCCUCAUGGCCCCUAUGAGUGGGGCUUCACACGUCAGCAAUGGGUCGGAUGAAGAGGUCGCCAGCCCGCGAGGAGCCAAUCCCAGAAGCAGUGUAGUCAGGAUCGCAGUCUGCAACUCGACUGCGUGAAGUCGGAAUCAUAAAGUAAUCGCGGAUCAGCAUGUCACGGGUAGACCCGUUUCCAGGUCUUGCCCACCGCCGUCACACCAGCAGGGUGGUUUCCAAGAAGUAGUUAGCUAGCAUGGAGGGCGAUUACCACGAUGAUUCAUGACUGAGGUGAGUCGUAUGAGUAG